UGGGGAAUCUUGCACAAUGGGGGCAACCCUGAUGCAGCGACGCCGCGUGAGCGAUGAAGCCCUUCGGGGCGUAAAGCUCUUUCGACCGGAACGAUAAUGACGGUACCGGGAGAAGAAGCUGCGGCUAACUACGUGCUAGCAGCCGCGGUAAUACGUAGGCAGCAAGCGUUGUUCGGAGUUACUGGGCGUAAAGAGUGCGUAGGCGGCCUGUUUAGUCAGAAGUGAAAGCCCCGGGCUCAACCUGGGAAUAGCUUUUGAUACUGGCAGGCUUGAGUUCCGGAGAGGAUGGUGGAAUUCCCAGUGUAGAGGUGAAAUUCGUAGAUAUUGGGAAGAACACCGGUGGCGAAGGCGGCCAUCUGGACGGACACUGACGCUGAGGCGCGAAAGCGUGGGGAGCAAACA
rnacentral:rRNA from 1 species